GACACUAUAGCUCAGUGGCAGAGUAUAGGAUUGCAAUGUUGCGUACAUUAUCCUGGAGUCCCGCGUUCAAACCGCGGUAGUGUCU